CCUACGGGUGGCUGCAGUGAGGAAUAUUGCGCAAUGGGGGAAACCCUGACGCAGCGACGCCGCGUGAGUGAUGAAGGCCUUCGGGUUGUAAAGCUCUGUCAGAGGGAAAGAAAGGGGAUAUGGCUAAUAUCCAUGUCCAUUGACGGUACCCUCAGAGGAAGCACCGGCUAACUCCGUGCCAGCAGCCGCGGUAAUACGGAGGGUGCCAGUGCUAUUCGGAAUCACUGGGCGUAAAGAGCACGUAGGGGGAAAUCCCGGGGCUCAACUUCGGAACUGCAUUUGAUACUGCCUGUCUUGAGUGUGGUAGAGGUGGAUGGAAUUCCCGGUGUAGAGGUGAAAUUCGUAGAUAUCGGGAGGAACACCAGAGGCGAAGGCGAUCCACUGGGCCACUACUGACGCUGAGGUGCGAAAGCGUGGGGAGCAAACAGGAUUAGAUACCCGAGUAGUC
rnacentral:rRNA from 1 species